rnacentral:tRNA from 1 species
UGCGGGAUCGUCUAAUGGUAGGACACCAGCCUUUGGAGCUGGGUAUCUUGGUUCGAAUCCAAGUCCCGCAGCCA